rnacentral:rRNA from 1 species
AUGUUCGGGCGGGACCCGUGGGGCGGGACGCUGGAGAUCUCGAACGCGGACUCGGCGACAGACGACGACCGGAGCCGGGACCUGGACCGGGGCGCCAUGAUGCGGCACCAGCUGGACGAGACGCAGCAGAGCUGGCUGCUGGCCGGCCCGGGCGACCAGGCCGGGAAGAAGAAGAAGAAGUACGUGGACAUCGGCUGCAUGGUCAUCGACCGCAAGAUCUUCAUGUGGACCGUCGGCCUCAUCCUCGGCGUCGGCCUCUUCGUCGGCUUCGUCAUGAUGAUCGUCAAGCUCGUCCCGCACAAGAAGCCGCCGCCGCCGCCCCCCGACCAGUACACCCUCGCGCUCCACAAGGCCCUCAUGUUCUUCAACGCCCAGCGAUCCGGUCAUCUGCCCAAGCACAACGGCGUGAGCUGGAGGGGCAACUCCGGCAUGAAGGACGGCCUCUCGGACAGCACCGUCAAGAAGAGCUUGGUUGGAGGCUUCUACGACGCAGGCGACGCCAUCAAGUUCAACUACCCCAUGGCCUGGUCCAUGACCAUGCUCAGCUGGACGGUGAUCGAGUACAGGGCCAAGUACGAGGCCAUCGGCGAGCUCGACCAUGUCAAGGAGAUCAUCAAGUGGGGCACCGACUACAUGCUCAAGACCUUCAACUCGUCCGCCGACACCAUCGACCGGAUUGUCGCUCAGGUCGGCGUGGGCGACACCUCUAAAGGCCCCAUGCCGAACGACCACUACUGCUGGAUGAGACCAGAGGAUAUUGACUAUAAGAGGCCUGUCAUCGAGUGCCACUCUUGCUCGGAUCUUGCCGCUGAGAUGGCUGCCGCCCUCGCCGCCGCUUCCAUAGUGUUCAAGGACAGCAAGGCGUACUCUGACAAGCUCGUCCACGGUGCCAAGGCGCUGUACAAGUUCGGUAGGCUGCAGCGCGGUCGAUACAGCCCCAAUGGCUCUGAUCAGUCAUUGUUCUACAAUUCCACCAGCUACUGGGAUGAGUUUGUGUGGGGUGGUGCGUGGAUGUACUUCGCCACGGGGAACACAUCAUACCUCACCAUCGCCACAGCUCCAGGAAUGGCAAAGCACGCAGGCGCGUUCUGGAUUGGUAGCCCAAACUAUGGAGUGUUUACCUGGGAUGACAAGCUUCCAGGAUCUCAGGUUCUUCUCAGCAGGUUGCGGCUCUUCCUAAGUCCAGGGUAUCCUUAUGAAGAAAUAUUAAGGACAUUCCACAACCAAACUGACAAUGUCAUGUGCUCAUAUUUACCAGUAUUCAAUUCAUUCAACUUCACUAAAGGAGGAUUGAUACAACUCAACCAUGGAGGGCCUCAACCGCUUCAGUACGUCGUCAAUGCAGCUUUCCUUGCCUCUUUGUAUGCUGAUUAUCUGGACACUGCGGAUACACCAGGGUGGUAUUGUGGACCUAAUUUCUAUACCACAGAUGUCCUCCGCAAGUUUGCAAAGUCACAGCUUGAUUACAUUCUAGGCAAGAACCCACAAAAGAUGAGCUACGUCGUGGGUUUUGGAAAGAAGUACCCCAAGCGUGUUCAUCACAGAGGGGCAUCAAUCCCUCAUAACGGUGUCAAGUACGGAUGCAAAGGAGGUUUCAAAUGGAGAGAGUCUAAGAAAGCAAACCCUAAUAUCCUCGUUGGAGCAAUGGUUGCUGGCCCUGACAAGCAUGAUGGCUUCAAGGAUAUCCGCACAAAUUACAAUUACACAGAGCCUACUCUUGCAGCAAAUGCUGGCCUGGUUGCAGCAUUGAUUUCUCUAGCUGACAUCGAUACCGGCAGAUAUUCAAUUGAUAAGAACACCAUCUUCUCAGCAGUUCCCCCAAUGUUCCCGACACCCCCACCACCACCAUCAGCUUGGAAACCAUGA